UGAGGAAUAUUGGUCAAUGGGCGCAAGCCUGAACCAGCCAUCCCGCGUGAAGGAAGAAGGCGCUAUGCGUCGUAAACUUCUUUUUCAGGGGAAGAAUGUUGGGUACGUGUACCCAAUUGCCGGUACCCUAUGAAUAAGCAUCGGCUAACUCCGUGCCAGCAGCCGCGGUAAUACGGAGGAUGCGAGCGUUAUCCGGAUUUAUUGGGUUUAAAGGGUGCGUAGGCGGAUUGAUAAGUCAGUGGUGAAAUCCUGCAGCUUAACUGUAGCAUUGCCGUUGAUACUGUCAGUCGUGAGUAUGGUUAAGGUAGGCGGAAUGUGUAAUGUAGCGGUGAAAUGCUUAGAUAUUACACAGAACACCGAUUGCGAAGGCAGCUUACUGAACCAUAACUGACGCUGAGGCACGAAAGCGUGGGGAGCGAACA
rnacentral:rRNA from 1 species